AACCUACAACUAGCAAAGGAAAAGGAAAAAUGUACAAGUGAUGAAGACUUGUAGUUUCAUUUAUUGUCAUGAUGAUAGACUUUAUAUUUAAUGAUGUGAUGUAAUUAUUUUAUUUCCACACUUUAUUGAUGUUUAAGGUUAGACAACUUGAGAAAAUUUUUUAAUUAAUGAUGUAACCCUUUUAAAGGGAGGAUUUAUGGUUUAAUUCUAUUAUAUUUGGG
rnacentral:lncRNA from 1 species